rnacentral:rRNA from 1 species
GAAUUCGCCCUUAGAGUUUGAUCCUGGCUCAGGACGAACGCUGGCGGCGUGCUUAACACAUGCAAGCCGAACGGGGUUGCAGGGAUAGUUUACUAACCUUGCAAUUUAGUGGCGGACGGGUGAGUAACACGUGGGCAACCAACCUUAAAGAGGGGGAUAACAACGAGAAAUCGUUGCUGAUACCGCAUAAAGUUAGCUAAUCGCAUGAUAAGCUAAUGAAAGGAGAAAUCCGCUUUAAGACGGGCCCGCGCCUGAUUAGCUAGUUGGUGGGAUAAAAGCUCACCAAGGCGACGAUCAGUAGCCGAUCUGAGAGGAUGACCGGCCACACUGGAACUGAGACACGGUCCAGACUCCUACGGGAGGCAGCAGUGGGGAAUAUUGCACAAUGGGGGAAACCCUGAUGCAGCAACGCCGCGUGGAGGACGAAGGUUUUCGGAUUGUAAACUCCUGUCAUUUGGGAAGAUAAUGACGGUACCAAAUGAGGAAGCCACGGCUAACUACGUGCCAGCAGCCGCGGUAACACGUAGGUGGCGAGCGUUGUCCGGAAUUACUGGGCGUAAAGGGCGUGUAGGCGGCUAGUCAAGUCAGCUGUGAAACCCCGGGGCUUAACCCCGGGCUUGCAAUUGAAACUGAUUAGCUCGAGUGUCGGAGAGGAAAGCGGAAUUCCUAGUGUAGCGGUGAAAUGCGUAGAUAUUAGGAGGAACACCAGUGGCGAAGGCGGCUUUCUGGACGAUAACUGACGCUGAGGCGCGAAAGCGUGGGGAGCAAACAGGAUUAGAUACCCUGGUAGUCCACGCCAUAAAC